rnacentral:tRNA from 7 species
GCGCUUGUGGCUCAAUGGAUAGAGCGCUGGCCUCCGGAGCCAGUGGUUGGGGGUUCGAGUCCCUCCAAGCGCG